rnacentral:rRNA from 1 species
GGGCCCGCACAAGCGGAGGAACAUGUGGUUUAAUUCGAUGAUACGCGAGGAACCUUACCCGGGCUCGAACGGCUUAUGAAUGGGAGUGAAAGCUGCCAGUUCGCAAGAACAUAAGUCGAGGUGCUGCAUGGUUGUCGUCAGCUCGUGCCGUGAGGUGUCGGCUUAAGUGCCAUAACGAGCGCAACCCUUACCGUCCGUUGCCAGCGGUUAAAGCCGGGGACUCAGACGGGACUGCCGCCGUAAGGUGCGAGGAAGGGGGGAUGACGUCAAAUCAGCACGGCCCUUACGUCCGGGGCGACACACGUGUUACAAUGGGGGGUACAGAGGGCAGCGAGCUUGCGAGAGUGAGCGAAUCCCUAAAGCCUCUCCCGGUUCGGAUCGGAGUCUGCAACCCGACUCCGUGAAGCCGGAUUCGCUAGUAAUCGCACAUCAGCCACGGUGCGGUGAAUACG